GCCACCAAUCACUAUCCUCCUUUCCUGAUUUACUUCCUCAUAUGUACCAUCUUUUAAAAAACAAAUAAGUAGCGAAAACCUCAAUAACUUCUGCACCGGCCUAAUAUUUGUAAAGAAGCUAUAAGCAACCUAAACGCUUCUGAGUCGGAAGCGUUUUUCCUGGUAAUCCUCACUGAGGAAACGCACCGUGAAUCGGAUUGCCGUUCAGUCCCACCAGGUGUGGAAGAUUUGACAUGACAGCAAACAUGUCAUGUAAGUUGUGAAGAUUCCCUUUUUCCACUGGGACAGCAGUAGAACUGAAGAGAAAUCAGACAACAGCUACCUCAGCAGCAGAGCCUCAAUGAUGAUACUUUUACCUCAACAGUGGAAGCUGGUAGUUUCCAAAAGUAGAGUAAAGACGGAGUUUUACCGUGUUAGCCAAGAUGGUCUUGAUCGCCUGACCUCGUGAUCCAUCCGCCUCGGCCUCCCAAAGUGCUGGGAUUACAGGCGUGAGCCACCGUGCCCGGCUGACUAUUGGUGAAAUUUUAAUGGGGGCUUGAGAAUUAGAUGUAGCAAUAUAUUAAUAUUAAUUUUCUGGUUUUGUUCGUUGUACUGUGCAUGUAUUGCGUGUGUGUGUGGGGGCACACAUAUUACUGUAAUAGAUUUGUAAUAUAUAGAAUUAUAUAUAUGUAUAUACAUAUAUAGACACAAUUGUGUUUGUAGAAAAUAUAUAUGAAAGCAGGGUUUUUCAACUUUGGCACUAUCGCUUUUGACAUUUGGGCCAUAUAAUUCUUUGUUGUGGGCAGUUCCUGUGAAUUGUAGGAUGUUUAGCAACUUGGUUUGCCUUUAAUAACUAAAUGACAGUAGCAUCUUCCUCACACCUUUCCCCAGGCUAAUAACUAAAAAUAUCUUGAGAUAUUAUCAGAUGUUUCCUGGAGGGCAAAACUCCUCCUGGUUGAGAAUCACUCUACUAAAGUAUUUGGAGAUGACAGAGCAUCAGGUUCGUUUCUAUAUAUUGUUAAAGUAUCUUUCAAAGUUGAAAGUAAAAUUAAGACAUUUUCAGAAAAAUUAAAUGGGCUAAUUUGUCACCAGCAAAUCUGUACUACAAAACAUGCUAAGAGACUUUUUUGGCCUGAAGGGAAAUAACAUCAAAUCUAAACUUCAAAUUAGAGGAAAUGAAAAGCAUAGAAAUGAUAAGUAUAUAAGUAACAGGAAAUACUUUUUUUAUCUGUCAAUUUCAUUGAAGGGAAACUGACUAAAUUGAAAAAGAUAUCAUUUUAUUGUGGGGUUUAUGAUGUGCAUAGAAAAACUUAUACUAAAAAAAUCACAAAAGACGGGGAAUAAAGGAAAUGUUACUGUCACCAGUUUUUGUUGUUGUUUUGCGUUUUUUAAAUAGACUUUAUUUUUAGGGCAGUUGUAAGUUCACAGCAAAAUUGAAAGAAAGAUACAAAGAUUUCUCAUACAUCAUUGUGUCCACACAUGCACAGCCUGACCCCUUGCUGUCAUUCUCCUCUGGAGUGGCACAUUACUUACCGCUGAUGAACCUGCAUUGGCACAUCCUUGUCACCAAGGUCCAUAGUUUAUAUUAGGGUUCACGCUUGCUGUCAUAUAUUCUAUGAGUUUGGGCAAAUUCAUAUACCAGUAUAGUAUCAUGCAGAAUAGUUUUCUGCCCCAGAAGUCCUCUGUGCAAAUGAAUAGGAUAGGUGGAGCACAGAUCACUUUUUAGGAAAAUGUUGCCUUGUUUUGAUUUGACAAAGUAGGCAACACUAUCAAUCACUGGAGAGAAUGUAAAAAUAGAAAAAGGAUGUCAUCAGUUUUUUACAUUAUAUAUGAAGUUGUAAAAAAUUACCUCUAAGUAAAAUUUAGAUUAGUUAAGUAUAAAUUGAUGAUUAUUGUAAUACAAAUAACUCA